AGACAGCUAACUCAUUUGAAGCUCUGAAACCAGGCAUUGACUUUUCUCUAGCUAGGAAAUCCUAGAUGGCAUCUUUUUCCAGCAGAAAGCUGUUUCAUCUACAUUG
rnacentral:miRNA from 1 species